AGAAAAUAGAUACCCGGGUAGUCCACGCUGUAAACGAUGGAUACUAGGUGUAGCAGGUAUCGACCCCUGCUGUGCCGCAGCUAACGCAAUAAGUAUCCCGCCUGGGGAGUAUGGCCGCAAGGUUGAAACUCAAAGGAAUUGACGGGGGCCCGCACAAGCGGUGGAGGAUGUGGUUUAAUUCGACGCAACGCGAAGAACCUUACCAAGGCUUGACAUCCACUGAAUCUUGUAGAAAUACAGGAGUGCCCGAAAGGGAGCAGUGAGACAGGUGGUGCAUGGCUGUCGUCAGCUCGUGUCGUGAGAUGUUGGGUUAAGUCCCGCAACGAGCGCAACCCUCGACGUUAGUUACCAUCAUUCAGUUGGGGACUCUAACGUGACUGCCGGUGAUAAGCCGGAGGAAGGUGAGGACGACGUCAAGUCAUCAUGCCCCUUACGUCUUGGGCUACACACGUCCUACAAUGGCAUAGACAAAGGGCUGCAAGACCGCGAGGUUGAGCGAAUCUCAUAAACUAUGUCUCAGUUCGGA
rnacentral:rRNA from 1 species